rnacentral:rRNA from 1 species
UGGGGAAUAUUGCACAAUGGGCGCAAGCCUGAUGCAGCCAUGCCGCGUGUAUGAAGAAGGCCUUCGGGUUGUAAAGUACUUUCAGCGGGGAGGAAGGCGAUAAGGUUAAUAACCUUGUCGAUUGACGUUACCCGCAGAAGAAGCACCGGCUAACUCCGUGCCAGCAGCCGCGGUAAUACGGAGGGUGCAAGCGUUAAUCGGAAUUACUGGGCGUAAAGCGCACGCAGGCGGUCUGUCAAGUCGGAUGUGAAAUCCCCGGGCUCAACCUGGGACCUGCAUUCGAAACUGGCAGGCUAGAGUCUUGUAGAGGGGGGUAGAAUUCCAGGUGUAGCGGUGAAAUGCGUAGAGAUCUGGAGGAAUACCGGUGGCGAAGGCGGCCCCCUGGACAAAGACUGACGCUCAGGUGCGAAAGCGUGGGGAGCAAACA